rnacentral:rRNA from 1 species
UGAGGAAUAUUGGUCAAUGGACGCAAGUCUGAACCAGCCAAGUAGCGUGCAGGAUGACGGCCCUAUGGGUUGUAAACUGCUUUUAUAUGGGGAUAAAGUGGGGAACGUGUUCCCUUUUGCAGGUACCAUAUGAAUAAGGACCGGCUAAUUCCGUGCCAGCAGCCGCGGUAAUACGGAAGGUUCGGGCGUUAUCCGGAUUUAUUGGGUUUAAAGGGAGCGUAGGCCGUUUGGUAAGCGUGUUGUGAAAUGUAGGAGCUCAACUUCUAGAUUGCAGCGCGAACUGUCAGACUUGAGUGCGCACAACGUAGGCGGAAUUCAUGGUGUAGCGGUGAAAUGCUUAGAUAUCAUGACGAACUCCGAUUGCGAAGGCAGCUUACGGGGGCGCAACUGACGCUAAAGCUCGAAGGUGCGGGUAUCGAACAGG